UGGGGAAUUUUGGGCAAUGGCCGAAAGGCUGACCCAGCGACGCCGCGUGCGGGAGGACGCCCUUCGGGGUGUAAACCGCUGUCAGAGGGGAAGAAACCCGGGGGUGUGAAUAGCGCUCUCGUUUGACGGUACCCUCAAAGGAAGCGCCGGCUAACUCUGUGCCAGCAGCCGCGGUAAUACAGAGGGCGCGAGCGUUGUUCGGAAUCACUGGGCGUAAAGCGCGCGCAGGCGGGACGACAAGUGGGGAGUGAAAUUCCGGGGCUCAACUCCGGGCCUGCUUUCCAAACUGUCGACCUGGGGACCGGUAGAGGCCGGUGGAAUUCCCGGUGUAGCGGUGGAAUGCGUAGAGAUCGGGAAGAACACCCGUGGCGAAGGCGGCCGGCUGGGCCGGAUCCGACGCUGAGGCGCGAAAGCGUGGGGAGCAAACAGG
rnacentral:rRNA from 1 species